rnacentral:lncRNA from 1 species
UAGUCCUUUCUAUUUUGUGUGCUAUCUCAGGUUGCUGAUUGCUGAUAAACUGCUGGUAAUGGUGAGUGGCUAUACUGGCAUCAGCAAAGGCAUAUCCCAAGAUAGCAGAACAUGAACAGAGUGGAGUAACGGCAUGGAUUGCUGACACCAGAAGCCAGGAUUUUCUCGGCAUCCCAACAAGUCACUAGGCAUGAGGAUCCAAGAAGGAAAGCUGUCUUGUGAGCCCAAGGCCACUAAAGACUUGCUGCAGAACAACCCCAGGGAUAAUUCAAGACAACUGCAGAGGCAGGAGGAGAAGCAGAGGAUUCGAGAAGUAGAAACUGCCACAUUCCAGGACAGCUUCUUAUCCUUCUCUCUUGUUUCACACAUGAGGAAACUGAGGCAGGAAGUUAAGUCACCUGUUUCUAGAAUCUUGGACCGGAGUAUCUAUAACAAUGUGCACAUGGACUCUCCUGGAAUCUUGUUAAAACACAGAUUCUGAUUGUAUAGAACUGGGAUAGAGACUGCAUUUCUAACCAGCUCUCAGGGGACAGUGACACUGUGUGAGUAGAAGGUGGACACAUUUGGACAGGUAGGCUGUGAGAAGGAAAAGAGCAAACCAC